GACGAACUGUCCUAACGUUGUUCGGAAUCACUGGGCUUAAAGGGCGCGUAGGCGGUCGACCAAGUCAGGGGUGAAAUCCUGCAGCUUAACUGUAGAAGUGCCUUUGAUACUGGUCGUCUCGAGGGAGGUAGGGGUGUGCGGAACUUCCAGUGGAGCGGUGAAAUGCGUUGAUAUUGGAAGGAACGCCGGAGGCGAAAGCGGCGCACUGGACCUCUUCUGACGCUGAGGCGCGAAAGCUAGGGGAGCAACGGGG
rnacentral:rRNA from 1 species